UACAGAGGUCCCAAGCGUUGUUCGGAUUCACUGGGCGUAAAGGGUGCGUAGGCGGUCGGGUAAGUCUGUCGUGAAAUCUCCGAGCCCAACUCGGAAACUGCGUCGGAUACUAUUCGGCUAGAGGGUUGGAGGGGGGACUGGAAUUCUCGGUGUAGCAGUGAAAUGCGUAGAUAUCGAGAGGAACACCAGUGGCGAAGGCGAGUCCCUGGACAACUCCUGACGCUGAGGCACGAAAGCUAGGGGAGCAAACAGG
rnacentral:rRNA from 1 species